rnacentral:rRNA from 1 species
UACAGAGGUGGCAAGCGUUGUUCGGAAUUACUGGGCGUAAAGGGCGCGUAGGCGGCUCGACAAGUCCCGCGUGAAAGCCCCCGGCUCAACUGGGGAACUGCGCGGGAAACUGUCGGACUUGAGUUCGGGAGAGGGAAGCGGAAUUCCGGGUGUAGCGGUGAAAUGCGUAGAUAUCCGGAAGAACACCGGUGGCGAAGGCGGUUAGCUGGGCAGUUGCUGACACUGAGGCGCGACAGCGUGGGGAGCAAACAGG